rnacentral:rRNA from 1 species
GAGUUUGAUCCUGGCUCAGAAUCAACGCUGGCGGCGUGCCUAAUACAUGCAAGUCGAACGCGAAAGUGGUGCAAUCCAUGAGUAGAGUGGCAAACGGGUGAGUAACGCGUGGGUGACCUGCCUUCGAGCGGGGGAUAACGUCCCGAAAGGGACGCUAAUACCGCAUAACAUGCCGCCUUUUAACAGGUGGACAUCAAAGCUGGGGAUCGCAAGACCUAGCACUUGAAGAGGGGCCCGCGUCUGAUUAGCUAGUUGGUGGGGUAAUGGCUCACCAAGGCAACGAUCAGUAUCCGGCCUGAGAGGGCGGACGGACACACUGGGACUGAGACACGGCCCAGACUCCUACGGGAGGCAGCAGUGGGGAAUUGUUCGCAAUGGGCGCAAGCCUGACGACGCAACGCCGCGUGGAGGAUGAAGACCUUCGGGUCGUAAACUCCUUUCGAUCGAGACGAAUGGCCUCCGGGUGAACAAUCCGGAGGAGUGACGGUACCGAGAGAAGAAGCCCCGGCUAACUCCGUGCCAGCAGCCGCGGUAAUACGGGGGGGGCAAGCGUUGUUCGGAAUUACUGGGCGUAAAGAGUUGCGUAGGUGGCAGAGUAAGCGGACAGUGAAAGCGUGUGGCUCAACUAUACAUACAUUGUCUGAACUGCUCAGCUAGAGAGUGAGAGAGGUAGUUGGAAUUCCCAGUGUAGGAGUGAAAUCCGUAGAUAUUGGGAGGAACACCGAUGGCGUAGGCAGACUACUGGCUCAUUUCUGACACUAAGGCACGAAAGCGUGGGGAGCGAACGGGAUUAGAUACCCCGGUAGUCCACGCCGUAAACUAUGGAUGCUAGCUGUUAUUCGUAUCGACCCGAGUAGUAGCGAAGCUAACGCGUUAAGCAUCCCGCCUGUGGAGUACGGUCGCAAGACUAAAACAUAAAGGAAUUGACGGGGACCCGCACAAGCGGUGGAGCGUGUUGUUUAAUUCGAUGGUAAGCGAAGAACCUUACCAGGGCUUGACAUCCUGCUAAUUUCUCCGAAAGGAGAGAGUGCCUUCGGGCCGCAGUGACAGGUGUUGCAUGGCCGUCGUCAGCUCGUGUCGUGAGAUGUUUGGUUAAGUCCAUCAACGAGCGCAACCCUUGUGAUUAGUUGAAUUUUUCUAAUCAGACUGCCCCGGCAACGGGGAGGAAGGAGGGGAUGAUGUCAGGUCAGUAUUACCCUUACGCCCUGGGCUACAAACACGCUACAAUGGCCGGUACAAAGGGCAGCCAAGUCGCAAGACGGAGCAAAUCCCAUCAAAGCCGGUCUCAGUUCGGAUUGCAGGCUGAAACCCGCCUGCAGGAAGCUGGAAUCGCUGUACGGUGGUCACCAUACCGUCCUU